AAUGUAGGCGGUUUUGCAAGUCAGGGGUGAAAUCCCUCAGCUUAACUGAGGAAGUGCCUUUUGAAACUGCAUAACUAGAGGACAGGAGAGGAAAGUGGAAUUCCCGGUGUAGCGGUGGAAUGCGUAGAUAUCGGGAGGAACACCAGAGGCGAAGGCGGCUUUCUGGACUGAUCCUGACGCUGAGAUUCGAAAGCUAGGGGAGACAAACA
rnacentral:rRNA from 1 species